UGGGGCAUUUUGGACAAUGGGCGAAAGCCUGAUCCAGCCAUGCCGCGUGAGUGAAGAAGGCCUUCGGGUUGUAAAGCUCUUUUAGUCGGAAAGAAAGAGUUGCAAUGAAUAAUUGUGAUUUAUGACGGUACCGACAGAAAAAGCACCGGCUAACUACGUGCCAGCAGCCGCGGUAAUACGUAGGGUGCGAGCGUUAAUCGGAAUUACUGGGCGUAAAGGGUGCGCAGGCGGUCUUGCAAGUCAGAUGUGAAAGCCCCGGGCUUAACCUGGGAAUUGCGUUUGAAACUACAAGACUAGAGUGCAGCAGAGGGGAGUGGAAUUCCAUGUGUAGCAGUGAAAUGCGUAGAGAUGUGGAAGAACACCGAUGGCGAAGGCAGCUCCCUGGGUUGACACUGACGCUCAUGCACGAAAGCGUGGGGAGCAAACA
rnacentral:rRNA from 1 species